AUUGAACGCUGGCGGCAGGCCUAACACAUGCAAGUCGAGCGGUAGCACAAAGGAGCUUGCUCCUUGGGUGACGAGCGGCGGACGGGUGAGUAAUGUCUGGGAAACUGCCUGAUGGAGGGGGAUAACUACUGGAAACGGUAGCUAAUACCGCAUAACGUCGCAAGACCAAAGUGGGGGACCUUCGGGCCUCAUGCCAUCAGAUGUGCCCAGAUGGGAUUAGCUAGUAGGUGAGGUAAUGGCUCACCUAGGCGACGAUCCCUAGCUGGUCUGAGAGGAUGACCAGCCACACUGGAACUGAGACACGGUCCAGACUCCUACGGGAGGCAGCAGUGGGGAAUAUUGCACAAUGGGCGCAAGCCUGAUGCAGCCAUGCCGCGUGUGUGAAGAAGGCCUUCGGGUUGUAAAGCACUUUCAGCAAGGAGGAAGGCGAUAAGGUUAAUAACCUUAUCGAUUGACGUUACUCGCAGAAGAAGCACCGGCUAACUCCGUGCCAGCCGCCGCGGUAA
rnacentral:rRNA from 1 species